UGGAAGAUCUUUUCGCGAAGAAACCAUGGGUUAAGCCAUUGUCCAUUGCUAGUUCUAAUGUAUCAAUGGAUGAUAUGGAUCAACCAUCAGAAUCAAAUCAAACUUGUAAACGUCAAAAGUUAGCUGUACAAGAAGCAACUAUCAAUUACAUGAAUGAUUGUGCAGAAG